GAGCAAACGAAGUUAUAAGGGGAUUGGAGUGGAAGAAGAACCAGAUUUGCUUUUGGUGGAAAAUGCGGCGAUCCGUUGGUUUGUUUUCCAUUUGUGUUAGAAUGUGUUUAGGUUUUGGUUUUAAUGUUGAUGGUGUUAUGGUCUGGGAAGGGAAGGGUGAGAGGGCUUUCGGGGGAAUGGAUGAAUAAGGGCAUCUGGGAAUGGGGGUUGUGUCUGACAGAAUUCUUUUGGUUUUAUUUUCGCGAAUUUGGAUUUUCUGCCAUGCUGCCUGAGGCGCUGGCUUUAUCAUAUAAAAUUUUAGAAUGAAAAUGAAGAGUUGUUUGCCUUCAU
rnacentral:lncRNA from 1 species